AUUGAACGCUGGCGGCAUGCUUUCCACAUGCAAGUCGAACGGGGUGGGGGGCAACUCCCAUUCAGUGGCGAACGGGUGAGUAAUGCAUCGGAACGUACCCCGGAGUGGGGGAUAACGCCGCGAAAGCGGCGCUAAUACCGCAUAUGCUCUGAGGAGGAAAGUGGGGGACCGCAAGGCCUCACGCUCUGGGAGCGGCCGAUGUCCGAUUAGCUAGUUGGUGGGGUAAUGGCCCACCAAGGCGACGAUCGGUAGCUGGUCUGAGAGGAUGAUCAGCCACACUGGGACUGAGACACGGCCCAGACUCCUACGGGAGGCAGCAGUGGGGAAUUUUGGACAAUGGGGGCAACCCUGAUCCAGCCAUGCCGCGUGCGGGAAGAAGGCCUUCGGGUUGUAAACCGCUUUUAGUCGGGAAGAAAAGGCCAGGUCUAAUACACCUGGUUCUUGACGGUACCGGCGGAAUAAGCACCGGCUAACUACGUGCCAGCAGCCGCCGUAAAAC
rnacentral:rRNA from 1 species